rnacentral:misc_RNA from 1 species
UUAUUUGUAUACAGGAACCCAGACGAAGCAAAUAACAACAGAUUAAUCGUCAACUAAAGUUCGAAACCUAGCAAGACAAACGAAAAAAAAGGGGAAACUGGAAACUGUAAAUAUUUCGACUUCCAUAUUAGUACAAGACAGUUCAAUUUCGAAAAAAAAGUAACACGGUUUCAAGUCAUGAGACAUUCUGGUUAUAAAUUGCACAAGAGUUCUAGACGGUAACGUGUCUGUAAGCUGCAUGGCAAAAUAUUACGAUACCAUCAAACUCUCGGCUGCUAUCAAGACCAACAAAAAUGGCAGGGAGGAACCUGUGGGGGGAUGAAACUGAAAUCCACAACGGAAGGGGAGAAUUACCAACACCAUCCUUACUACAUUUGCUGAAACAUCGUGCAGAACACUAUUCGCCUUGAAGACAGUAUAGUUGACGUAUAUUUCCUGAAGCAUAUAACCAGUCUUUAAAGCACACAUGCAGAGCAGCUGCUACUUCCCGCUUCCGGCUCUCAUCAAGGUCGAUGUCCUUCAAACUACUCUUAGUCUCCUCCAAGUUCUUGAGAUUUCUCUGCUGGGAUGCCAUAUAAGCUUCCGGUAAGGGGAAUGGAUUAUCUUUUGUGGACCCAGAUUGCUGCCCUUCAAACCAGUUUGGAAUCAAAAAGUUAGUGAACUGAUCAGGGUCCACGGGACUAGCAGACUCUGUUUGAACUUCAGACACACCAGCAGGAUGUGACAGUGAAUCGUGUGGGUCAAUGACGCCAAGUGCUACAGGUGCAUCCCAUCUGUUGAUGGUUGGGUCAAUACCAACUUGCUUCAGGUGUUCCUCCAAUAGCGAGUAAAAAGUAUUGUACGGAGCCACUUGCAAUUUAUGGUUAUCACCAACAAGAAGUGGUGUUUGGUUAACUCCCAAGAAGAAUACGCAUUCACGACAAUUGGCAAUACAAAUACGUUUUGCUGCUGCAAUCACUUGUACACGCUCGCAGUGCUCAAUUCUGACAGCCUUGCCUACAGCUCCCAGGACAAUAGUUGCAUCAGAGCAUCCAUAUACUGUAGCAUAUUUCAAAGGAGCUAAAAUAUAAAUGACCGAUUCAUGGCAAUUGAUAACCUUUACAGAGGAGCCUUUAAUAUCAUUUGGCAGCCUUACAUAUGAUGAUUUAGAAAUUCCUUCAAUGGAACUUGGACCUCUAGGACCUGGUGAACUCUUAACUGAACUUGCAGAGACAUCAGCCAUUGGCACAUCCUGAUCAGAGGCACUAGUUGGUCCAUUUUCCUUUGCUGAAGCCCUCUCGGUUAUUCGUGUCAAAGCAGAGGCUAUAUUUUCUAUAAGCCAGUCAUGUACUUGAGCUGCAGGAACAGGAACAGCAGGCAUCUCUGGAUCUGAAUUGGCAAAAAAUGGGGCAUUCUGACUCAAUGGGAUUCUCUCAGAUCCCUUUUCACCAAAAUAGAUUAGGAAGCCAAGAUGCUCCAAUUUCUCCAUAGACAAGACCAGUGAUUCGUCACCAUCUCCUUCCCCUGACUCUGCCAAAAGAGACAGAAUGUUUCCCAAGUGUUUCUGUAAAUAGGAUAAUUGAUGAGCCUCUUCAUCAGCCUG